rnacentral:rRNA from 1 species
AUACGGAAGGUCCGGGCGUUAAUCGGAAUUACUGGGCGUAAAGCGUGCGCAGGCGGUCUUGUAAGACAGUGGUGAAAUCCCCGGGCUCAACCUGGGAACUGCCAUUGUGGCUGCAAGGCUGGAGUGCGGCAGAGGGGGAUGGAAUUCCGCGUGUAGCAGUGAAAUGCGUAGAUAUGCGGAGGAACACCGAUGGCGAAGGCAAUCCCCUGGGCCUGCACUGACGCUCAUGCACGAAAGCGUGGGGAGCAAACAGGAUUAGAUACCCUGGUAGUCCACGCCCUAAACGAUGUCAACUGGUUGUUGGGGAUUUAUUUUCUCAGUAACGAAGCUAACGCGUGAAGUUGACCGCCUGGGGAGUACGGCCGCAAGGUUAAAACUCAAAGGAAUUGACGGGG